rnacentral:tRNA from 1 species
GGAGAAGUGGCAGAUAGUAAUGCGUGCGGCUUGAAACCGUUUGAUAGGGGUUUAAUUCCUCUCUUCUCUUAAAUAAAGU